rnacentral:misc_RNA from 1 species
UUUUUUUUUCUUCUUUCUAGAUUUGAUCAUUUCUCCAUUUUUAGCUAAUACCCUUCACCAAUAAUUUUAUUAUCACCUUCUUGACAUGGAUGACAUUGAUGUUCCUCAGUAUUUUACCUGCCCAAUAUCUCUCCAAAUCAUGACAGACCCUGUAACGGCCAUCACUGGAAUUACAUAUGAUCGAGAGAGCAUCGAGCAUUGGUUAUUCAUCAGCAGGAACACAAUCUGUCCUGUCACUAAACAACCCUUGCCUGAAGACUCUGAUUUGACCCCUAAUCACACCUUGCGCAGAUUAAUCCAGGCUUGGUGUAUUGAGAAUGCUUCUAAAGGUGUUGACAGUAUUCCUACUCCCAAACCUUGUCUGGACAAGUUUCAUGUCCGUAAACUCAUUGAAGAUCUUUCUCUUCCUCAGCUCCAGGUGAAAGCUAUCAGAGAGUUAGAGCUGCUGGCAGCAGCGAAUGAAAGGAAUAGGAAGUACUUGGCUGAAGCUGGGGUGCCUAGGGCCUUAUUGCUGUUUAUAUUAACAUGUUUCAAGCAAGGCCGGAUAUUUGAUGGUCUGCAAGAAGCGCUUAGUAUUCUUCGGUUGAUUCGAAUUCCUUCGAGAGAAUCCAAGGUUUUUCUUAUCGAAAACGAUCAAAUCAUCGAAUCCUUGACAUGGGUUUUAGGGUGCAAUAUCGAUAAUCAUGUUAUUGUUAAAUCUCAUGCAGCUUCUGUACUGAAGAUGCUGUUUGAGGAAGCGAGCUCUAGAGUAUUAGAAAGGCUAAAUCCUGAAUUUUUUGACAGGGUUGUUGGUGUUAUAAGAGAGAAAAUCACUCAACAAGGAAUAAAUGCUGCUUUAAAAGUGCUGUUGACUGCUUGUCCUUGGGGAGGAAAUCGGAUAAUGAUGGUGGAAUCUGGUGCUGUUUUUGAGCUGAUCGAGCUUGAAUGGAGAUCACCAGAGAAGAAAACCACAGAGAUGAUAUUGGGGAUACUAUUUCAUCUAUGUUCUUGUGCUGAUGGAAGAGAACAAUUCUUGAGUCACCGAGGUGGAAUUGCUGUGGUUGCAAAGAGAAUCUUGAACGUGUCUCCGACGGCUGAUGAACGAGCCAUUUUGAUCCUUGCAAUGAUCUGUAAAUUCUCAGGAACAAGCAUGGUUCUCCAAGAAAUGUUGAAUGUUAAAGCUGUGUCAAAGCUUUGCAUGAUGCUCCAAUCUGAUCGUGCAGCUUAUUUGAAGGAAAAAGCCAGGGAAAUCCUUAGAUCACAUUCUGAUGAGUGGAAGAA